rnacentral:hammerhead_ribozyme from 1 species
GUCCAGCUGAUGGGUCCGAAAUAGGACGAAACGAACGUCCCGGAU